rnacentral:rRNA from 1 species
UAGCAAACCGGAUUAGAUACCCGGGUAGUCCACGCUGUAAACGAUGAAUACUGGGUCUUCGGGGAAUCGACCCCUUGUGGACCGAAGCUAACGCGUUAAGUAUUCCGCCUGGGGAGUACGGUCGCAAGACUAAAACUCAAAGGAAUUGACGGGGGCCCGCACAAGCAGCGGAGCGUGUGGUUUAAUUCGAUGGUAAACGAAGAACCUUACCUAGGUUUGACAUAUAAGUAGUACUGACCCGAAAGGUGAUGGACCCGCAAGGGAGCUUAUACAGGUGCUGCAUGGUUGUCGUCAGCUCGUGCCGUGAGGUGUUGGGUUAAGUCCCGCAACGAGCGCAACCCUCGUGGAUAGUUGUUUUCUUUAUCCAGACUGCUUUUACAAGAGGAAGGUGGGGAUGACGUCAAAUCAUCAUGGCUCUUACACCUAGGGCUACACACACGCUACAAUGGACAGUACAGACGGUUGCUAAGUCGCAAGAUGGAGCCAAUCCGAUAAAGCUGUCCCCAAUUGGGAUUGUAGGCUGAAACUCGCCUGCAUGAACCUGGAGUUGCUAGUAACCGCAGAUCAGAAUGCUGCGGUGAAUACGUUCCCGGGCCUUGUACACACCGCCCGUCACGUCAUGGAAGUUUGAAACACUUGAAGUCGCUGGGCUUACCUUUUAGGAGGCAGGCGCCGAGAGUGGGGCAAAUGACUGGGACGAAGUCGUAACAAGGUAGCUGUACCGGAAGGUGCGGCUG